UACGUAGGGUGCAAGUGUUAAUCGGAAUUACUGGGCGUAAAGCGUGCGCAGGCGGUUAUGUAAGACAGAUGUGAAAUGCCCGGGCUUAACCUGGGAACUGCAUUUGUGACUGCAUGGCUAGAGUUUGGCAGAGGGGGGGUAGAAUUCCACGUGUAGCAGUGAAAUGCGUAGAUAUGUGGAGGAACACCGAUGGCGAAGGCAGCCCCCUGGGUCAAGACUGACGCUCAUGCACGAAAGCGUGGGGAGCAACAGG
rnacentral:rRNA from 1 species